rnacentral:tRNA from 1 species
UCCCUGGAGGACUAGUGGUUAGGCCACUGCACGCUCACUGCCCUGGCCUGGGUUCGAUUCCUGGCCAGGGAA